rnacentral:lncRNA from 1 species
CAAAUCCUGUAUUUCCUUACAUCCCAUGUGCUGGUCACAAGAGAGAAGAAAGGCGUAUCACGAGGUCUGAUGGGCAUCUCUGUGAAGGCAGCUCAGUGGCAACAAUGAACAGCUAUGGAUCUGCCAAGGCAUCUCAUACUCAUGGUGACUGCUAGCUUGUGUCACCCUACUGCCACUGCUUGUGCUACCAACACUAGAGUGAAGCUUCCUGUGCUGAAAUCACAUCCACUUACUGCUUGGACUCCUCACGUGCACACAUGCUUUGUUGUCACUUAGCAUUAAGUAGUAAAAUAUAACUGCAUUUUGGCUGUAAAUGUAGUUUCCCCCCACACUCCCCACAGUUCAUUCCAGUGAUUUUUUGCCAAUUCUAACUCCGA